AAUUAACGAGAGUUUGAUCCUGGCUCAGGACGAACGCUGGCGGCGUGCCUAAUACAUGCAAGUGGAACGCACAGAUGAUACGU
rnacentral:rRNA from 1 species